rnacentral:rRNA from 1 species
UACUUGUACCGACUGGAUGAGCAGCGAACGGGUGAGUAACGCGUGGGGAAUCUGCCUUUGAGCGGGGGACAACAUUUGGAAACGAAUGCUAAUACCGCAUAAAAACUUUAAACACAAGUUUUAAGUUUGAAAGAUGCAAUUGCAUCACUCAAAGAUGAUCCCGCGUUGUAUUAGCUAGUUGGUGAGGUAAAGGCUCACCAAGGCGAUGAUACAUAGCCGACCUGAGAGGGUGAUCGGCCACAUUGGGACUGAGACACGGCCCAAACUCCUACGGGAGGCAGCAGUAGGGAAUCUUCGGCAAUGGACGAAAGUCUGACCGAGCAACGCCGCGUGAGUGAAGAAGGUUUUCGGAUCGUAAAACUCUGUUGGUAGAGAAGAACGUUGGUGAGAGUGGAAAGCUCAUCAAGUGACGGUAACUACCCAGAAAGGGACGGCUAACUACGUGCCAGCAGCCGCGGUAAUACGUAGGUCCCGAGCGUUGUCCGGAUUUAUUGGGCGUAAAGCGAGCGCAGGUGGUUUAUUAAGUCUGGUGUAAAAGGCAGUGGCUCAACCAUUGUAUGCAUUGGAAACUGGUAGACUUGAGUGCAGGAGAGGAGAGUGGAAUUCCAUGUGGUAGCGGUUG